GCAAUGAUGACCCUUGUGUUUUGAUAGUAAUGAAACAAUCCAUCCAAUUCCUCUAAGAAGUUCUGAGCUC